GACGAGCGGCGGACGGGUGAGUAAUGUCUGGGAAACUGCCUGAUGGAGGGGGAUAACUACUGGAAACGGUAGCUAAUACCGCAUAACGUCGCAAGACCAAAGAGGGGGACCUUCGGGCCUCUUGCCAUCAGAUGUGCCCAGAUGGGAUUAGCUAGUAGGUGGGGUAACGGCUCACCUAGGCGACGAUCCCUAGCUGGUCUGAGAGGAUGACCAGCCACACUGGAACUGAGACACGGUCCAGACUCCUACGGGAGGCAGCAGUGGGGAAUAUUGCACAAUGGGCGCAAGCCUGAUGCAGCCAUGCCGCGUGUAUGAAGAAGGCCUUCGGGUUGUAAAGUACUUUCAGCGGGGAGGAAGGCGAUAAGGUUAAUAACCUUGUCGAUUGACGUUACCCGCAGAGAAGCACCGGCUAACUCCGUGCCAGCAGCCGCGGUAAUACGGAGGGUGCAAGCGUUAAUCGGAAUUACUGGGCGUAAAGCGCACGCAGGCGGUCUGUCAAGUCGGAUGUGAAAUCCCCGGGCUCAACCUGGGAACUGCAUUCGAAACUGGCAGGCUAGAGUCUUGUAGAGGGGGG
rnacentral:rRNA from 1 species